rnacentral:rRNA from 1 species
CNUUNUNUAGACUGCUCAUGAAAUUAAAUAGCCGCAGAAUAUCUGUGCUAAGGUAGCAUAAUCAUUUGUCUUCCAAUUAAAGACUAGAAUGAAAGGUCAAACGAAUAAAAAAUUUUUAAUUCUAUAAUUAAAUUAAAUUAAAUUUAAUGUAAAAAUACAUUAAUAACAAAAAAAGACGACAAGACCCUAUCGAACUUCACUAAAGUUAAACUGGGACAGUAUUUUUAUAAAAAUUUUAACUGAUUAACUAACAUCAACUACCCUCUAAAGAGAAAAAAAAACAGUUACCGUAGGGAUAACAGCGCAAUUUAUUUCUAAAGUUCUUAUAAAAAAAUAAGAUUACGACCUCGAUGUUGAAUUAAUUUAUCAGAUAAACGCAAAACUUUAUAAAGAAUGUCUGUUCGACCUUUAAAUAAUUACAUGAUCUGAGCAAAACCCCGGGAGA